rnacentral:rRNA from 1 species
CCUACGGGCGGCAGCAGUCGAGAAUCAUUCACAAUGGGGGAAACCCUGAUGGUGCGACGCCGCGUGGGGGAAUGAAGGUCUUCGGAUUGUAAACCCCUGUCAUGUGGGAGCAAAUUAAAAAGAUAGUACCACAAGAGGAAGAGACGGCUAACUCUGUGCCAGCAGCCGCGGUAAUACAGAGGGCUCAAGCGUUGUUCGGAAUCACUGGGCGUAAAGCGUGCGUAGGCGGUUUCGUAAGUCGUGUGUGAAAGGCGAGGGCUCAACCAGCGGACGGCACAUGAUACUGCGAGACUAGAGUAAUGGAGGGGGAACCGGAAUUCUCGGUGUAGCAGUGAAAUGCGUAGAUAUCGAGAGGAACACUCGUGGCGAAGGCGGGUUCCUGGACAUUAACUGACGCUGAGGCACGAAGGCCAGGGGAGCGAAAGGGAUUAGAUACCCGAGUAGUC